GACGAACGCUGGCGGCGUGCUUAACACAUGCAAGUCGAACGAAGUGGCGAACGGGGGAGUAAUACGUGGGUAACCUGCCCUCCUUUUUGGGAUAAGCCUUGGAAACGGGGUCUAAUACCGAAUCAAGGGGGUUGGGCUCGCGGCCUAUCCUGUUGUUGGUGGGGUGAUGGCCUACCAAGGCGGUGACGGGUAUCCGGCCUGUGAGGUUGACUGGCUACAUGGGACAUGGGUUACGGCCCGUGUGAUUACGGGUGGAAGGAGGGGGGGUUAUUGAACAAUGGGGGAAAGGCGGGUGCAGCGACGCCGCUUGGGGGAUGAAGGCUUCCGGGUUGGAAACCUCUUUCGCUAUUGAACGGGUAGGUGGCGAAGAAGCGCCGGCUAACUACGUGCCAGCAGCCGCAGUAAUUC
rnacentral:rRNA from 1 species